rnacentral:sRNA from 1 species
CAGACUCUGAGGAAGAUGAUGCUAAUGGGCGGGUGGAACUGAUCCUUGAACCAAAGGAUCUAUACAUUGAUCGUCCUUUACCAUAUCUCAUUGGGUCAAAGCUGUUCAUGGAACAAGAAGAUGUAGGUCUUGGAGAGCUGUCCAGUGAAGAAGGCUCUGUAGGCAGUGAUCGUGGCAGUAUUGUGGACACUGAGGAAGAGAAAGAAGAGGAGGUAAGGGCUGUUUGGUAUGACCAGGUCACGGUGGGCAGCAAGCUUAAGAUGGGCCU